AAGGAUAUAGCUCAGUUAGGUAGAGCAUCAGACUAUUAAUCUGACGGUUGAAGGUUCAAAUCCUUCUAUCUUUU
rnacentral:tRNA from 1 species